rnacentral:rRNA from 1 species
UACGGAGGGUGCAAGCGUUAUCCGGAUUCACUGGGUUUAAAGGGCGCGUAGGCGGCCACCGCAAGUCGACUGUGAAAUCUCCGGGCUUAACCCGGAAAGGUCAGCCGAUACUGCGGGGCUAGAGUGCAGAAGGGGCAACUGGAAUUCUCGGUGUAGCGGUGAAAUGCGUAGAUAUCGAGAGGAACACCUGCGGCGAAGGCGGGUUGCUGGGCUGACACUGACGCUGAGGCGCGAAAGCUAGGGGAGCGAACGGG